GACGAACCGUGCGAACGUUAUUCGGAAUCACUGGGCUUAAAGGGCGCGUAGGUGGUUGAUCAAGUCUGGGGUGAAAUCUUUCGGCUUAACCGGAAAAGUGCCUUGGAAACUGAUCAGCUGGAGGGAGGUAGGGGCAGUUGGAGCUUCCAGUGGAGCGGUGAAGUGCGUUGAUAUUGGAAGGAACGCCGGUGGCGAAAGCGAACUGCUGGACCUCUUCUGACACUGAGGCGCGAAAGCUAGGGGAGCAAACGGG
rnacentral:rRNA from 1 species